UACAGAGGGUGCAAGCGUUAAUCGGAUUUACUGGGCGUAAAGCGCGCGUAGGUGGCUAAUUAAGUCAAAUGUGAAAUCCCCGAGCUUAACUUGGGAAUUGCAUUCGAUACUGGUUAGCUAGAGUAUGGGAGAGGAUGGUAGAAUUCCAGGUGUAGCGGUGAAAUGCGUAGAGAUCUGGAGGAAUACCGAUGGCGAAGGCAGCCAUCUGGCCUAAUACUGACACUGAGGCGCGACAGCGUGGGGAGCAAACAGG
rnacentral:rRNA from 1 species